rnacentral:rRNA from 1 species
CCUACGGGGGACAGCAGUGAGGAAUAUUGGUCAAUGGGCGCAAGCCUGAACCAGCCAAGUAGCGUGAAGGAUGACUGCCCUACGGGUUGUAAACUUCUUUUAUAAGGGAAUAAAGUGACGCACGUGUGCGUUUUUGUAUGUACUUUAUGAAUAAGGAUCGGCUAACUCCGUGCCAGCAGCCGCGGUAAUACGGAGGAUGCGGGCGUUAUCCGGAUUUAUUGGGUUUAAAGGGUGCGUAGGCGGAAUAUCAAGUGUGCGGGAAAAAUUCGGGGCUCAACCCCGGCGUGCCGUUGAAACUGAUGUGCUUGAGUGGGCGAGAAGCAUGCGGAAUGCGUGGUGUAGCGGUGAAAUGCAUAGAUAUCACGCAGAACUCCGAUUGCGAAGGCAGCAUACCGGAGCCCAACUGACGCUGAAGCACGAAAGCGCGGGUAUCGAACAGGAUUAGAUACCCCUGUAGUC